rnacentral:rRNA from 1 species
UACGGGGGGGGCAAGCGUUGUUCGGAAUUACUGGGCGUAAAGGGUGCGUAGGUGGUGAGGUAAGUCGGAUGUGAAAUCUCCGGGCUCAACCCGGAAAUGGCAUUGGAAACUACCUUGCUGGAGGAUUUGAGGGGGGAUUGGAAUACUUGGUGUAGCAGUGAAAUGCGUAGAUAUCAAGUGGAACACCAGUGGCGAAGGCGAAUCCCUGGAAAAUACCUGACACUGAGGCACGAAAGCUAGGGGAGCAAACAGG